rnacentral:tRNA from 1 species
GGGCGAGUGGUGGAAUGGUAUACACGUUGGACUUAAAAUCCAAUGGUCGCAAGACCAUGUGGGUUCGAAUCCCACCUCGCCCACCA